ACGGGUGAGUAACGCGUGGGAAUCUACCCAUCUCUACGGAAUAACGCAUGGAAACGUGUGCUAAUACCGUAUACGUCCUUCGGGAGAAAGAUUUAUCGGAGAUGGAUGAGCCCGCGUUGGAUUAGCUAGUUGGUGGGGUAAAGGCCUACCAAGGCGACGAUCCAUAGCUGGUCUGAGAGGAUGAUCAGCUACACUGGGACUGAGACACGGCCCAGACUCCUACGGGAGGCAGCAGUGGGGAAUAUUGGACAAUGGGCGCAAGCCUGAUCCAGCCAUGCCGCGUGAGUGAUGAAGGCCCUAGGGUUGUAAAGCUCUUUCACCGGUGAAGAUAAUGACGGUAACCGGAGAAGAAGCCCCGGCUAACUUCGUGCCAGCAGCCGCGGUAAUACGAAGGGGGCUAGCGUUGUUCGGAUUUACUGGGCGUAAAGCGCACGUAGGCGGACUAUUAAGUCAGGGGUGAAAUCCCGGGGCUCAACCCCGGAACUGCCUUUGAUACUGGUAGUCUUGAGUUCGAGAGAGGUGAGUGGAAUUCCGAGUGUAGAGGUGAAAUUCGUAGA
rnacentral:rRNA from 1 species